rnacentral:rRNA from 1 species
UUUCGCAAUGCCCGAAAGGGUGACGAAGCGACGCCGCGUGUGGGAAGAAGGCCUUCGGGUUGUAAACCACUGUCGGGAGUUAGGAAAUGCAGGUGCGUUAAUAGCGCACUUGCUUGACUAAGGCUCCAGAGGAAGCCACGGCUAACUCUGUGCCAGCAGCCGCGGUAAUACAGAGGCGGCAAGCGUUGUUCGGAAUUAUUGGGCGUAAAGAGCACGUAGGCGGCCUUGCAAGUCAGUUGUGAAAGCCUUCCGCUUAACGGAAGAACGGCAUCUGAUACUACAGGGCUUGAGUACGGGAGGGGAGAGUGGAACUUCUGGUGGAGCGGUGAAAUGCGUAGAUAUCAGAAGGAACGCCGGCGGUGAAAGCGACUCUCUGGUCCGAAACUGACGCUGAGUGUGCGAAAGCUAGGGGAGCAAACGGGAUUAGAUACCCCGGUAGUCCUAGCCGUAAACGAUGGGCACUAAGUAGAGGGGUUUU